GGAAAAGCAAUCAAUCAACCAAUAAUAAAGAUAACUGUGCGAGUCUUAAUUUUGACCAAAAAUCCAUGAAUUUUUUUGAUAUGAAUAUGAUUUGAAGUAUUAUUUUCCUCACAGUGGUUCCAGAACAGAGUUUGCCCUGGCUAAACAGCUGCUCUCUUUAUCCCUCGGGCUAUCAAUGACAAAGAAGCCUGGACACAAGGGCUUGCUGAGAGUCUCCAAACCAGAAUGACCUCCCCAGGACCCUGAAUCUGCAAGAGCAACCUUUCUAAGUUUCACCUCCUGAAACUGAAUGACUUUGCAUCAUUCCCUGAAAGAGAACCCACAUUUAUGGGAUAACCAUUCUUCUCUGAUUCCAAACUGCUUCCAGAGCAAAUGUGCCCCAACAUGUCAUACGAAGGAGGCUGCACAUUUUGAUGUUAGUAUCAGCCUUAUUGAUGAAUGGUCCCAAGUUUGGAAGUAUUUUGAAAGCUGCCCUUGUCUGCCGCAGUAGGGAUGCACAAACCUGAUUAGACUUUCAUAGUCCACAGUGAGCAUUAAUUUGUUCAGCGCUGCCUUCAGGUGGAACAUCUGCAUAAAUCUAGCUUUGUGAAUAUUUUUAAACUGAGAGAUUUUCCAUCUGUUUUGGAGUUAUAGCGGUCCACAUUAUCCUCACUUGAGCUCUUAAUGAUAUAUGUGUGAUGGAAACAAGACGUCUUAACGUGUAAGUAUUCACUGCCUCCCCAGUCCUGUCUGUGCAGAUUCUACCCUUCCCCCACCACCUUAAGCAGGUCUUUCUUUGCCAGUCUAGUUCUUGGUGUUUUUGUAAUGCAAAAUUAGAAGACAGGGAGAGCAACUGGGCCAGAGCUGCAGUCAAGCAAAGGGAAAGGAUAUUUGCUUUCUGGGUCAGCCCUGGUUUCUUUCUUGUGGAGAAUCCAGGUAAUGAGCAAAGCAGAAAUGAAACCAUAAAAAGAAGCUGAAUUCUAAAUUGAUCUAAAUAAGAAAGAGCUUAAGGUGGGGGCAGGAGGAAGAACACAGAAAAGCCAUAAAAGGUGGGUGUCAGGGGAAUUGGGGGAUUUUAAGAAGACUGCAAAAAACACGGAGUACGAAAGAAGUGUGGAAGACAGAUAAUAUUUUUUAAAGUAUUGUUGUGGGUUAUGGCACAGAUCUCCCUAACAGUUCUUGAGAAAUGCACAUAAAAUAUUAAAAUGUCUUUUAAUUUCUGUUGGGCUACUGGAGUAUAUAUUUCUUCAAAUGGAAUGCUAUGCUAAAAUUGAUUCAUCUGAGCCCUGUACACACAUAUACACACUUUAUAUUUGGAUCAUAUACAAUCCUUCCUAACUAAACAGCCAGGAUCCGGUUACAUAUUCUCUUUGAACUCAGCCUGGGUCUCUAUCUGAUCUUUUGCCCACCCCAACGUGGGCAACCAUCUCCUUCCAGACUGUAAGAGAGAGAAAUAAUCUUCUAUUAUAUUUGAACCAAUGAUUUAUGGAAG
rnacentral:lncRNA from 1 species